ACAGGGGCAGAAAAUAGCACACUUUUACUCUACGCAACUGUUGCUUUUUCAUGAUCUUCAGGAAUUUUACUGGGAUAAUUAUCCAAAUAAAUUGCAAGCAUUCUAUCCAAAUGGAGCUCUUUCUGAGAUGAAGAGAAUUCUCAAUGUCAAGAUUUGAACAAGAAGAGAAUGGAAUACACAAUAUGGACAUCCAUAAAAAUUCAUCAGAGAGCAUUUUACUACUGAGCUGCAAAGGGAAAAACUUAAAAUGGAUAUGAAAAGUGAAGAAAGUGAUCAUAGGAGAAAACCAUUUCAGGUGUCUGAUGAUUUGUGAGCCUCAAGUGACUACUCUGUGGAAUCAUCUGUCCUUGCCUUUGAAUUAGCUUUCCCUAGGCCAUGAGUCAACAUUAGUAGUUUAUACAUCCAAAUUGUGUUGACUUCAUUCUCAGAUGACAAGAGCACCUCAAAGGCAGCAGCCUCAAGGAGCAGCCAUGGCCCCAGACUUGUCGCACGGAUGCAGAAAACUUAAUGGAGGAGGCUGAGGUCAGAAUGGGAAGAGUUUUUAAAAAAUAAAAAGGGGAGCUAAUAUGUGAGGAA
rnacentral:lncRNA from 1 species